AUUGAACGCUGGCGGCAGGCCUAACACAUGCAAGUCGAGCGAGCGGCGGACGGGUGAGUAAUGUCUGGGAAUCUGCCUGAUGGAGGGGGAUAACUACUGGAAACGGUAGCUAAUACCGCAUACUAUCGGAUGUACCCAUAUGGGAUUAGCUAGUAGGUGGGGUAAAGGCUCACCAAGGCGACGAUCUCUAGCUGGUCUGAGAGGAUGAUCAGCCACACUGGAACUGAGACACGGCCCAGACUCCUACGGGAGGCAGCAGUGGGGAAUAUUGCACAAUGGGCGCAAGCCUGAUGCAGCCAUGCCGCGUGUAUGAAGAAGGCCUUAGGGUUGUAAAGUACUUUCAGCGGGGAGGCGUUACCCGCAGAAGAAGCACCGGCUAACUCCGUGCCAGCAGCCGCGGUAAUUC
rnacentral:rRNA from 1 species